GAUAGGGAAUGAGAAGAGUGUGCACAAAGCACAUUGGAUGCUUGAAUGAAAACCUGAUGAUCCAGCUAUACCCAAAAGAUGCUCCAACAUAUAACAAAGACACAUGAUCCACUAUGUUCAUAGCAGCCUUAUUUAUAAUAGUCAGAAGCUGGAAAGAACUCAGAUGUCCUUCAACAGAGGAAUGGAUACUGAAAAUGUGGUACAUUUCCACAAUGGUGUACCACUCAGCUAUUAAAAAUGACUUCAUAAUAUUUUAGGCAAAUGGAUGGAGCUAGAAAAUAUAAUCCUGAGUGAGGUAAAUCAGUUGUAAAAGAACACACGUGGUGUGCACUCACUAAUAAGUGGAUGUUAGCCUAAGAGCUUGGAAUACCCAAGAUACAAUUCACAGACCACAUGAAGGUCAGGAAGAAGGAGGACCAAAAGUGGAUGCUUUAGUCCUUCUUAGAAGGGGGAACACAAUAUUUACAGGAGGAAAUAUGGAGACAAAGUGUGGAUCAGAGACUAAAAGAAAGGCCAUCCAGAAACUGCCCCACCUCGGGACUCAUUGCAUAUACAGACACCAGAGACACUAUUGAGGAUGCCAAGAAGUGCUUGCUGACAGGAGCCUGAUAUAGCUGUCUCCUGUGAGGCUCUACCAGAGCCUGACAAAUACAGAGGCAGAGAUCACAGCCAACCAUUAGACUGAGUAUGUGGUCCCCAAUGAAAGGACUAAAGAAGCUGAAGUGAUUUACAUCCCCAUAGGAAGAAAAAUAAUAUCAAACACCAGACCCCUCCACCCCAAGCUUCCAGGAACUAAACCACCAACCAACGAGUACACAUGGAGGGUCCCAUGGAUCUAGCUGGAUAUGUAGCAGAGGAUGGCCCUGUCAGGCAUCAAUGGGAAGAGAGGUCCUUGGUACUGAGAAGGCUCCAUGCCCCAGUGUAGGGGAAUGCCAGGGCAGGGAGUUGCGAGUGGGUGGGCAGCUGGGUGAGCAUCCUCAUAGAAGCAGGCGGAGAGAGGAGGGGACAGGGUGUUUCCAGAGUAGAAACCAGGAAAGGGGAUAACAUUUGAAAUGUAAAUAAAUAAAAUAUCCACUAAAAAAAAAGGUAAAAGGAAGAAAAUGUCCUCAUAUGAAAAACAGUUUUUUAAAAAAUCAAUGAAGACAAAGUAAAGUAAAAAGAAAAAAUUUCCUUCAAUAAUAUAUGUGUGUGUGUAUGUGUAUAAUUAUACACAUAAUUACUUAAAUGUAUGAUGAUAUAAAGUUGUUACUACUUAUUCAGCUACUUGAACUUCAAUGUUUUUUAAAUUGACUAUGAGGUAGUGCCGUAAUGGCAGAACCCAGAUAGGUUUUAGUUUCUGUGGAAAACUCAAAGUAUUUAAAACAAUGACAUGUGCAAGUAUAUGGUUAUUAGAGGAAGAGGAUACCCUUCCCAAACAACAGGUGCACAAGUCAUACACUGCAGGUUACUUAGCUGGCUAUAGGUCCUGGAGAUGCAUGCACUGUUCCAGUUGUCCUCUCUUCUACUGUAUACACUUUUUCUCCUAGCUCAGCAUCAUCUGUAAGAAGCACCAUAGAACCAAGGAUCUCACAAAACAGCCUUCCAGGGGAAGCUUUACAAGUUAUACUUCUCUUGUAGUCAUUACACUGAUGAGCUCUCAGGAUCCACACUAAAGAGUACAUAGAACCCAUUGGUCUUGCUGCUAUGAUAAAUCAUGCCAACACUUUGGAACAGUUUGUUGGGGUCUAUUGUUCCAGAAUGACACCAUCAAAUAGUGCACAUGAUAGUUUCAUGAAGGAUAUGAAUCCAUGCCUUAUCUCAAGCAAACAACUUAGGAAACUUACCUCUUUGGAAAUUUAAUGUGUAAUUAUUGCCACAGUAUUGGAAAAAUAUUUCAGCCCUAAGAUAUUAUGUUUAAAAAAAUCUGCAAAUCUCUGCACUGUGACUUUACCUUGAUAAUUACAUCUCUCCAUAUUGAUGAGAGAAGCCACACAGAGCAGAAUUGUAUGGAAAUCUGGACCUUGACUUUGAAUGUUGUGAAACAAAGAAUGAACUACUAGAACCCAAUGUUGCAGAAGGGCGUUUAGAUUGAGUUUUUAAACCAUAGUUCUCAAAAAAAGAAAAGGAGUAACUAUAUUUGCAGCAUCACAUGUACUUGACCUCUUACUGCUUAAAAGAAAGUUAAAUAAAACUGAAAACAAAUAGAGGUAAAAAGAGAGAAAUCUUCAAAAGAAUAGAACCCAACAAAACCCAACAAAUCAAUCAAAUAAUCACAUAGCAAGGGGUACUAUAUGGAUCAGUAGGAGACAACUUCUCUAGUAUGCGUGAUACAGUAAGUUCAAGUCACAGUACUAUAAAUUAUAGAAUAAAUAAUUUUGGGAUCAUAUAUUAGUUGUUUUUGUUUGUUUAUUUGUUUUGUUUUGUUUUUUGUUUUUUGAGACAGGGUUUUUCUGUAUAGCCCUGGCUGUCCUGGAACUCACUUUUGUAGACCAGGCUGGCCUCGAAUUCAGAAAUCCACCUGCCUCUGCCUCCUGAGUGCUGGGAUUAAAGGCAUGUGCCACAACGCCCUGCUUCAUAUAUUAGUUUUAAAACACAUCUUUCACUUUAUAUUUUUGGUAUUCCAAAGAAUUCUAUUUUUCACCUCAUCUUGUCUCAACCAAGGUUGGUGUCAAUAUAACAGUUAUAUGUUGAUUUUUCUCUCUGGUGACUCUCUAAGGUGGGACCACUCAGGAGAACACAGGCCACAGAAGCCACAGAGCAGCUGGGACAAGGUCCAUGGGCCUACAUAUGUACCCAGAAGGUGGGGCUGUUCCACAGUCCUCUGUGCUCUUUCCCUGCCAGGGGAGAGCUUGCCUCCAGGGAAUGCUCUGAUCCCAGGACUCAGGGAAGAUCACCAUUUUCUCUCCAGUUACUCUCUAAGGCAGGUCCACUCAGGAGCUCACAGGCCUCAGAAGCCACAAUCAGCUGGGACAGGGUCCUAUGGGCCUACAUCUGCACCCAGGAGGUACUACUGAUCCUCAGUCCUCUGUGAACUGGUCUUGCCAGGAGAGAGCUGGUCUCCUAGGAGUGCUGACAGAGGCUUACAGACUCACAGGAGGAACAAACUCUAGCCAGAGACAGCAAGAACAACUAACAACACAGAUUACAAGAUGGUGAUAGGCAAACACAAGUAUCAUAUCAACAGAAACCAAGACUACUUGGAAUCUUCAGAACACAGUACUCCUACCUGAGUGAAUUCUGUAUAUCCCAACAUACUAGAAAAGCAAGAUUUGGAUUUAAAAAUCAUAAUUAAUGAUGCUGUUAGAGGACUUUAAGAAAGACAUUAAUAACUCCCUUAAAGAAAUACAGGAGAACACAGCUAAACAGGUAGAAGCCCUUAAAUAGGAAACACAAAAAUCCCUUGAAGAAUUACAGGAAAAUACAGGGAAACAGGUGAAGGAAUUGAACAAAACAAUCCAGGAUCUAAAAAUGGAAGUAG
rnacentral:lncRNA from 1 species